CUAGACUCCUACGGGAGGCAGCAGUGGGGGAUAUUGCACAAUGGGGGAAACCCUGAUGCAGCGACGCCGCGUGUGGGAAGACGGCCCUCUGGAUUGUAAACCACUGUCCCCAGGGACGAAGAUGACGGUACCUGGGGAGGAAGCUCCGGCUAACUACGUGCCAGCAGCCGCGGUAAUACGUAGGGAGCGAGCGUUGUCCGGAAUUACUGGGUGUAAAGGGAGCGUAGGCGGGACUGCAAGUUGGGUGUCAAAUCUACCGGCUCAACCGGUAGCCGCACUCAAAACUGCAGUUCUUGAGUGAAGUAGAGGCAGGCGGAAUUCCUAGUGUAGCGGUGAAAUGCGUAGAUAUUAGGAGGAACACCAGUGGCGAAGGCGGCCUGCUGGGCUUUUACUGACGCUGAGGCUCGAAAGUGUGGGGAGCAAACAGGAUUAGAUACCCUAGUACG
rnacentral:rRNA from 1 species